AGGGCGAACGCUGGCGGCGUGCUUAACACAUGCAAGUCGAGCGGAAAGGCCUUUCGGGGUACUCGAGCGGCGAACGGGUGAGUAACACGUGAGUAAUCUGCCCAUCGCUUCAGGAUAGCCAUCGGAAACGGUGAUUAAUACUGGAUAUGACAUUCCUUCGCAUGUUGGGGUGUGGAAAGUUUUUUCGGCGGUGGAUGUGCUCGCGGCCUAUCAGUCUUGUUGGUGGGGUAAUGGCCUACCAAGGCUUUGACGGGUAGCCGGCCUGAGAGGGU
rnacentral:rRNA from 1 species